rnacentral:lncRNA from 1 species
AUUUAUGUGGCAGUGAGAUAGUGUGAUGUCUUUACUGGGCUAGUGUACCUCAUUCCUUACUUAACUAUUUCAUAUCAGGAAGAUGUGGUUCCCGAGCCCGUCUUGUAGGAAGACGGCGUGUAAAUGCUUAAGCAUUUCAUAGUUUUAUUUAUAGCAUUCAUUACUAGUAUUUACCUUAGUUAGUUUGUUCUUUCAUACGUUGAAUACGUUUUUUGGUUAUUGUGUAA